rnacentral:pre_miRNA from 1 species
GACAGCUCGCUCAGCUGGCUGUGUGAUAAUCAACAGGCAGCUGUGAGAGAAGUUG